ensembl:lncRNA
CGUCAGCCUUCUGUCCCCGAACCACGAGUCCUGCCUGAGCGCCUCGGGUUUCUGUUGCCUGCCCCUUGGACUGCCCGGCGCUUCUGCCCUUGUGCUCCGGAUCCCCGACCGGCCCAGCGAUCGCACCAGCUGUCUCCCGGCAUCUCCUCCCCGAUCCUGAGGACCGCACUCUGCUCUGCCUCUCAUUGUGCCCGAACGCCUGCUGUGAGGCCGUGUUCAAUAAAAGCGUUAACCAAACACUCCGUGCCGUUGUGCUGCAUUUGGCUCCGCCACACGCCCUUGUCAGUAAGAAAGGUUGGGGACCACUGGGCUGAUCCGUGUGUUUACACACCUCCUGGAUCCUGAUUGGAGUCGCUGCUGCAGCCGCAAGGCACUGAUUGGAUGCUCACAGACCGUAAUACAGCGCAGAUGAACAUGAUUCAGACUACGGCGUUUAUAUGUUCAACAAUAGUAAACGUAGUCUUAGCUGUUUUAAAAUUACACCAAGUUUAUUUCGGAUUAUUCCAACGGAAGAAUACAAGGCGCAGGGAACUUUGAGGUGCGUAAACGCUAUUUAUAGGUGCGUAAACGCUAUUUCCCAAAUUCCAGAGGUGCGUAAACGGCGUUUACCCUCCACUACAGCCCUGCCCUGAGCUUAUUUCAAUUCUGCCCAGAGUUGAGGUCAGCUAAGAGACUUCUUCAACAUUGAACUUGGACAAACAUGUGGAUUGUAGGGAUGACACAGGAGAAGGGACUUUGCUUUGCAACUCCUGCAACAAAGUUUCAAGUACACUUGCUAUCCAUGUAGCCUCGCAUGCAGAUAAAACAAGCAGUCUCCUUUCAAACCCGUGGCCUCAAUUCCCUCUGCUGCUUUCCAUUUGGUUGUUUCUCAGAGGGAGAGUGUGCACGUGUGUGGGUGUUGUUAAGUGGCUCUGCUCAACCGGAUCUAAAAUGCAAUACAAAAAAACGUUCUCAGCCGCUAUCCUUUCUAUUGUCUCCCUCCCUGUUUUCAUCUGGCUAGUUCUCCUCCAGACGUUUUGUCCAAUUGCAUCCGCUUAAACAGUUUACUUUGAUCAGUGUGUGUGUGUGUGUGUGUGUGUGUGUGUAGAACUUGAGUUUACACUUAAGUACAUAUCUCAUCUUAUCUUACAAAUAUAUUACUAAAAGAAAGUAACUUAAUGAGUGAACAUCUCCCCAUAGUAAAUUAUGAUAUCGGUGUUUCGAAGCAUUGCAGUUAACAUCGUUGACAGUUUUAUUUUGUCUCCAGUUUGAGGGAAUAAGUCAAAUAAAUUCUCUCCAGGGCCGACAUAAUUUAGUAACAUAGUUUCUAAAAAAAUACUUUCAGUAAUAUUACUAAGAUUCUUUUUUAUAGUGACUUGCAGGAGAUCACCAAGGGAAUUGACACUUCCUAUAUAGCCUAAAAAUAGUUUGAAGCAAUAUAUAAUUUAAAUAUAUUUUUUCUGUACAGAAGAAUGUCAAAAUGGUAAUGUAUGCAGAUGACACAACGCUGUACAGCAAUGCUUAUAUAGGGCCAGAAAUUUUUUUGAUUCAAGAUCUGGGAAGAGUGUCUGAUUGGGAACAAACUAGCCCUGAACAUUUCUAAGUCUAAAAGUUCUGUUUAUCUUCACUUGUCUAUGUCAGGUUUGCCAAUGGAACAGGUAAAGAGCACCAAAUUACCGGGUGGAGUGUUAAUUGUAGUAGGGGUUAGGUGUCUUGUAAGGGACACUUUGACACGUGGCAGCUGGGACUCGAACCACCAACCUUGUGGUUCCAGCACACCCGCUGUACCCGUGUCACGUUGCCCGACAUUUUAUAAUUUGUAUUGUUUCUGAGGUGUUGCAGUCUUUGGUCUUUUGUCACCUGCUGUUCUGUCCUUUCAUAUGGUCACAGCUGUUAAGAAGGACAUAGACAAACUUAUCAUGGUCGUCGAGAUCCGAACCUGGGUCUCGGUGUAGCAGGCCGAUUUCCUACCACUGUGCUGCAAGUGGUGGUGACUCAGGUGCAGAGACAGACACGGACAAGUCGUAUGUUGAGUCAAAAAAAAAAAAAGGUUUCUUUACUUGCAAAAAGUAGGAGGUUCCAUAUCGUUGACAAAACUCAAAAUAUUCCAAGACAACUAAAAACAAAGUCAGAGCAUUUAACAGGAAACUAAGGGUGUCCCAAAGAACAGGCAACAGAAGAUCUUAAAAAACAAAAGGUAUUAACAGAGAAAAGUUAUCAAGUGUCUCACGCAGCUCAGCUCCAGGUGGUAAGUUCCAAGACUCGGCAAACACAAAGAAACAGUUGGCUUUUUAAAGGCUAGAGAACGAGGCACAGGUGAACGCAAUGAGAACAAUCAAGACCACACAGACUCAUGACAGGUGCCAUACAUAAAACUGGAUCACUGAGGACCCCACAUGGUCCUUCAGGGUAAUUCAGUCCAAAAAAAACCUGACAGGAUCCCCCUCCUUAUGAACGUCUCCUGACGUUCCCUCGAGGGCGAUCUGGAUGAUCUUGGUGGAAGGUCCUGAUGAGGGUUGGAUCGAGUACAUGCCGGGAAGGGACCCAGGACCGUUCCUCUGGACCAUAGCCCUUCCAGUCCACCAGAUAUUGCAAGCCCCUCCCCACCCGGCGACAGUCCAUUAGACGUUGGACCGUAUAAGCUGGACCCUCCUCGAUGAUCCUGGGGGGAGGAGGGGUCUUGGCUGGAGGGGCCAGUGGGCUCGUGGCAACUGGGCGUAGCCGGGAGACAUGGAAGGUGGGGUUGAUCCGCAUGGAUCGGGGGAGUUGGAGGCGAUAGGCUACUGGAUUGACCCUCCUCACGACCUUGAAGGGCCCCACAAACCGCUGAGCGAGCUUGCGGGACUCCACCCGCAGAGGAAGGUCUCGUGUUGAUAGAUAAACGCUCUGUCCCGGACGUAGAGUGGGGGCAGGUCUGCGGCAGCGGUUGGCAUGGUGUUGAUACUGACGGACAGACUUUUGCAGGGUAGACCGGGCCUUGCGCCAUACAAUCCUGCACCGUCUGACAAAGCUCUGGGCUGAAGGAACACCAACCUCUGCCUCUUGGUCGGGGAACAGUGGAGGUUGAAACCCAAACUGGCACUCGAAGGGACUGAGUCCUGUAGCAGAAGAGCACAAGGUGUUAUGGGCAUAUUCCGCCCAGAUCACAUACCUGCUCCAAGACGAAGGAUUAGGUGAGGCCAGGCAUCUGAGGGUGGUCUCCAGGUCCUGAUUGAGUCUCUCUGUCUGUCCAUUGGACUCUGGAUGGUGCCCAGAGUAGAGGCUGACCGUAGCCCCAAUAAGCUUGCAGAAGGCUCUCCAAAACAGAGCCGUGAAUUGGGGCCCACGAUCCGAGACCACAUCAAGGGGAAGACCGAAGACGCCUGAAGACAUGCUCACACACAGCCUCAGCAGUCUCAAGAGCCGAGGGGAGUUUGGGCAGGGGGACAAACCGACACGCCUUGGAAAAGCAGUCGACAAUAACCAAAAUAACUGUUUCCCUGGGAGAGGGGAAGACCUGUAAUAAAGUCCAUGGAUAUGUGGGACCAGGGUCGCUUGGGAAUGGGGAGAGGGUGUAGGAGACCGUAGGGGGGGGAAUGGGAACUCUUAUUUAUGACACAGACUGAGCAGGCCGCAACAAAAGCCCUUACAUCCAUGUUCAUCCCUGGCCACCAGAACCGCCUCUUGAUGGACUCCAGAGUCCUGCCCAUUCCUGGAUGGCCGGUCAGACGCGAAGAGUGCCCCCACUGCAGAACCUUGGUUCGCACAACAGUAGGAACAUAUACUGUUGGAGGGUCCAUCCCCGGGAUCUGGCUCUCUUCUAGGCUUGGCGCACCAAUGUCUCAACUCCCCAUCGGACCGGAGCUACAAUCCUCGAGCAUGGGAGAAUGGACGCUGGAACUCUAUCAACCUCUGGCCUGUGAAACACUCUAGAGAGUGCAUCAGCCUUUUGGUUCUUUGAACCAGGGCGGAAGGACAAAAUCAAAUCAAAUCUAUUAAAAAAAAGAGCCCACCUUGCCUGCCUGGGGUUGAGACGUUUGGCCCUCUGAAUGUACUUCAGAUUUUUGUGGCCCGUCCAAACCACAAAAGGGUGCUGGGCCCCUUCCAGCCAGUGGCGCCAUUCCUCCACGGCCAUCUUAAUAGCCAGAAGCUCACGAUCCCCCACAUCAUAAUUCCUUUCAGCAGCUGAGAGGCGAGCGGAGAAGAAGCAACAAGGAUGUAGCUUCCCAUCUGCCGGCCGCUGGGAAAGCACUGCCCCUACUGCCGCCUCCGAGGCAUCUACCUCGACCACAAAGGGGAGAGAGGGAUCAGGUAAGGUCAAGAUAGGGGCGGAGGAGAAUCUCACCUUCAGUUCACAGAAGGCCCGCUCUGCCUCUGGAGACCACUUAAAGGGCCCAGGCUUCCUCUUUGUGAGAUCGGUCAUAGGUCCGGCAACAGCACUGAAGUUUCUGAUAAACUUCCUAUAAAAAUUGGCGAAACCAAUGAACCAUUGUACCUCCUUGACAGGAUGGUUGGGGCCAAUCCCGAACAACUUGAGUCUUCUUGGGAUCUGUGAGAAGACUCCCCUUGGAAAGGAUGAAGCCCAAAAAGGAUACCUCAGAGACGUGGAACUCACAUUUCUCCGGCUUUACAAAGAGGUGAUUCUCAAGCAGGCGCUGGAGGACGACUGACAUGAUGGACGUGUUCAUGAAGGGAUUUGGAAAAAAUGAAAAUGUCGUCCAAAUAGACAAAAACAAAAUGGUUUAACAUCUGAGAACCUCGUUAAUGAGUCCUUGGAAAACACCUGGUGCGUUGGACAGCCCAAAUGGCAUAACUAAAUAUUUAUAAUGACCUGUAGGUGUGUUGAAGGCCGUCUUCCACUCAUCUCCCUCCUUGAUCCGGACCAGGUGGUAGGCGUUACGGAGGUCCAAUUUGGUGAAGAUAGUUGCCCCUUGUAGGAGUUCAAAUGCUGAGGACAUUAAGGGCAAGGGGUAACGAUUCUUCACCGUGAUCUUGUUCAAGCCCCGAUAAUCAAUACAAGGUCUGAGACCGCCGUCCUUCUUCCCGACAAAGAAGAAUCCGGCACCGGCAGGGGAAGACGAGGGGCGGAUAAUUCCAGCUGUCAGGGAGUCCUUGAUAUAGUCCUCCAUAGCUUGAGUCUCAGUGGGUGACAGGGAGAAGAUCCUUCCUCGUGGAGGGAUGGACCCUGGGAGGAGAUCAAUAGCACAGUCAAAAGGCCUAUGAGGGGGCAGGGCAGUGGCCCUCUUCUUGCUAAAUACCUCACUCAACUCAUGGUACAUGGAGGGGACUUGGGCCAAAUCUAGAGGACUGGGAGGUUUGGGAACUGAGGACACGGCUCUAGUGAGGAGACAAGAAGAUUUGCACCUUGGACCCCACUCUACCACCGUUCCCAAAGACCAAUUGAUAUGAGGACUGGUGAGACAACCAAGGGAACCCUAGCACAACAGGAAACUCAGGAGUGUGGAUCAGAUUAAACUGAAUCUUUUCAUAAUGUUUCUCGAAAAUGGACAAAACAGCUGUAAUAUGGGUUACGGUACCUCUGCCCAAGGGCCUGCCAUCAAGGGCCGUCACUUAGAGAGGGUGGUCCAGGCCGGUCAUGGGCAGGUGAAGGCGCCUGGCGAGGGUGAGGUCCAGGAAAUUCCCAGCAGCACCUGAGUCCACAAGUGCAUCAACAGCGUGUUGCUGGUGUUCCCAGGAAAUGGUGACAGGAAGCUGCAGGCACAAAGUAGAGUCUGAAGGAGUUAGAGUUGCCCCCGUCACAGUUCUCCUUUUACUGGAGGGGCAGUGCUUUUCCCGCAAGCACAGGACAUGAGGCGCGGAAAUGGUUAGGAGCUCCACAGUAGAAGCAGCUUCUCUCCCUCCUCCUUCGGUCCCGCUCGGCCUGGGAAAGGAGAGUUCCACCAAGCUGCAUCGGCUCCUCCGAAGAAGGUGGGUCACAGUGAGGCCUACAAGGCCACUGUGGCGAACUGAAGGUUGAAGCGGCGGCUCCGGAACUGGAACCGCUGUACGGCUCUCGUUCACGACGCCUCUCUCGCAGACUGUUGUCGAGUCGAAUAGUCUGGUCAAUUAGGGACUCCAGAUCCCCAACAGGAUCCCUAGCUGCCAGUUCAUCUUUGAUAAUGCCAGCGAGCCGCUUCCGGAACGCUGCCAUCAGGGCCUCCUCGUUCCACUUACACUCUGCUGCCAGGGUGCGGAAGAGCACAGCAUACUCAGCAACACUAGCAAUGCCUUGACGCAGCACUACCUCCCAAGGGAUGGUCAUCUCGCCCGUGAAGGUGCUAAAGUCAUCACAGGAAUGGCCCUGCUGAUCCCAAACAGCUGUUGCCCGGGCCUUUCCGGUCAGAAGAGUUAUGACGUAGGCUAUGCGAUCAGUGCGAAACGAGGAGGCUUGAAGUUCAAAGGUGAGAGAGCAUUGGGUAAGGAAGGCCCGGCAGUCCCUGGGGUUGCCGUCAUACCUCUCGGGAGCGGGUAGCCGUGGUUCUGCAAGGGUCCCAGGUGGAAGAGAAUCGCGUGAUGGUGCUGUAACUCCAGAGGGUUACAGGCCGGUGGAGGCCGGUGGUGGCAAACGAGCUAGUACAUCGGUCAAAGUCUGUUGUAAGCCCUGCAGGACUUGAUCUUGGCGAGGGAAGGCAGCCUCAUGGAGGGUUAGGCGAGCAUCAUGGCGAGACACAGUGGCGUCGUGACUGGCCACUGCCGCGUAGAGUUGAUCCGCCGCAGUUGGUGUCCGGGGUUGCCGAGAUGAUGGGGAAGACUUUGUCUCUGCUGAGUCUGGUUCCAUGGCAGAGUCUUGCUAUCAUGGUCGUCGAGAUCCGAACCUGGGUCUCGGUGUAGCAGGCCGAUUGCCUACCACUGUGCUGCAAGUGGUGGUGACUCAGGUGCAGAGACAGACACGGACAAGUCGUAUGUUGAGUCAAAAAAAAAAAAAAAGGUUUCUUUACUUGCAAAAAGUAGGAGGUUCCAUAUCGUUGACAAAACUCAAAAUAUUCCAAGACAACUAAAAACAAAGUCAGAGCAUUUAACAGAAAACUAAGGGUGUCCCAAAGAACAGGCAACAGAAGAUCUUAAAAAACAAAAGGUACUAACAGAAAAGUUAUCAAGUGUCUCACGCAGCUCAGCUCCAGGUGGUAAGUUCCAAGACUCGGCAAACACAAAGAAACACAGUUGGCUUUUUAAAGGCUAGAGAACGAGGCACAGGUGAACGCAAUGAGAACAAUCAAGACCACACAGACUCAUGACAGGUGCCAUACAUAAAACUGGAUCACUGAGGACCCCACAUGGUCCUUCAGGGUAAUUCAGUCCAAAAAACCCUGACAAAACUACUGUACAACUGGUUGAAAACCGUGUUGCCAGAUUAGCACUUCAGUGUUCAAUAAGAACAAAUACAGCAUAUUUUCCUGUCAUGGUUCUCACUAGAAAUCAAUCUCUCUUCUCGUGUUUUUCAGAAAGGUCAUUUUUAAUCAGUUACAAUAUACAGGUAAUAAGCAUACACAAUGAAUGCUAGCCUAGGAUGCAUGAUACUUCCAACCCCUAUAACAAACCUCCUCAACUGUAUAGUUAUUUUCAGCACCUCAGGACAUUAACCACUUGACGUUUGCCAUUGCUUUUGUACACAUUCGAUUCUUCGCAAAUUGCAGGAGUACUGGACUAUAUACAUCCUAGUCCUCAACCGCACAAGGUAUACGACUAGAUUAUUGGUUAUUAUUCUUUUCAUGCUCUUUGUACUAUAUUUAACUACAGUACGUUUUACGUCAUGGUCUAAAUGUUUGGUGUUAACUACUUUUUUGUCUCUCUGUGGAUCCCAGAAAUAUUAGCGGCCAGCUGAUGGGAAUCCAGUAAAUAACAAAUAAAUGUUCUACAAAUCUCCAUAUUCAGUAGUCUUUUCAGGUGAUGGACGUUUCGAAGCUAUUCCUGCUGGAGUUGAGGAAGAGGCACGGUUCUUUCAGGAGAGGCGAUAGCAGGGAUCACACACUUCACACACACAAAACACAUUCUCAUGUACAGUGUGACUUUCUUGUACAUCUAACAGAGCUAUAAAAAUCCCCAUAGCAGACUAUUGACCUGCAUGACAAAAAGAAAACGUCUGAAUCCAAUGUGGAUUUCAUAAAUCCAACAUGUAAUCGAAUGUGUUCUCAAAAUCUGAAUAUGUAUUGACCACGUCAAACUGAGAAUUCAGCGUGUGUGCUCUACAAAGCGAUGUGAACACAAAUGAGCAGAUAUCAGUCAUCUGGUGCAUAAUCUUAAAUCUCUCCUCCGUCUGUUCCCGUGGUGCGGGGUGUCUGCAUACCAACAGGUUUUUUGUUGCUCUCUUCUGCCGCCGCUGAAUGGAGCCGACAGUGGCCAACUAUUAAACAACUGUACGAAGCGUGAGAGUCGCCUACACAAACUUCGCAGAAGAUGGCAGGUUAAAGCCAACACAUAGUUAACGCUAUCAGAAGAGGCAGAGGAAGGUGAAAGCAAAAUCAUGUCUCGCUCUACUGUCUCUGUUCUCUCAUCCGUCACGUUUGUGAUGUCCGCACAUUGUUGAAAACACUUUUGCCAAUCCCAGAAGCAUUAACCUUUGAAGAAAUGCAGCCUGGUUGAUAGGGUGAUAAUCAUUAACGUCAGUUAAUCUACAAGUUUUCAUGAGCCUGGUGGUCGCCUUUCAGCACAUAAAGGGACCAUGUAGCCCCUCAAUAGACAUAUUAAAAUUGACAUCAGAGCCGCUCUACAUUGGUCUCAGCAUGUAGAGUGUGACCUCACACACUGCAGGCCGGGCCAAUUAAACUGGAGAUAGUUUUCCUGGCUCAAAAAGAGAAGGAGCUUCUAGCCGCUGAUGUAGUCUCAGGAGUUCUCAUAGCAUACCAGCCCUAAUCCAAAGCGUUAAGACUUCUACAGAUAUGAUUUUAUUUCAUCCAAUGCGCUAAUUAGCGGAGUUUGUAAUAAAAACAAUGUAAUUAUAAUUACAUUGUUUUUAUUACAAACUCUGCAAUAAAUGUCGAUGUUCGCCAUCACCAGUAACCUGCAGCUUAUUUUCUCGACAAUGCCUUGUUUUGUCAUCCCUAGAGAUGUUAAAAAUGAAUAUUUCAUGUUAAAAAGUUAAAGAAAUCACACUAAAAGCAGAUGGAGCAGCUUGCCACACAAGAAUAGCUGGUCAUCCUUAAGUGGCUUACUGACUUUGGGGUAGUAGCUGGCCAUGCCGGUUGUAUUAAAUCCCACUUACGGUUUGUGGAUUUGAGUAGCUAUCAGAUUAAUAUGGUGACCGAUAAAAAGUGACGUGUGUUUGGAUAGGAGUGGGCAAAAAAAAUUCACUUUCACUGCCUGAGAUCAAAUCCAUUCAUGUACUAGCCCUGUAUCACUUUUGACAGCUUUUCACACCAAUGUGUCAAAUGACCGAGCUUGGUCAGCGACAAUAUACUUGAAAGACUACAAGGCUCUUUGUUCCCCUCUGUAUUGCACGUCUCUGACAGCAUGUCAAUAUUCACUCGUAAAAUGCAUGUACCUUUCAAACUGGGGACUCAGUUGCCUGUCAUGUGCAUUAACUGCAGCUCUCUUUAAGUGAUGAAUUGAACCUCUUUCUCAAUCAGUUAUCACUGCAGCCUCAAUCACCAAAGCACCCAUUUCACUGUGUGGCACUUAUAUUGUUGCUUUGCAGUUAAUGAUCAUUUCACAAAGGUCUGCUACCAUAAUGAUCCAACCCAGGAUAACAGUCAUAAUAAGGAUGCGGAUAGAUCAAGGCACAUGUCUGUCAGUACUAAGUAAAACGGUAUUAAAAAAAAUAAAAAAUAAAAGGAUUUUAACUACAGUUGUGUAGUAUAGUUUACAUUGUACACUCAGUACUGAUUGGUUUAUGCACACAUUGUGUUCUUGUUUCUCUGUAGCUUAACUGAGCUGAUGAAUAAUGUCACAAUAUCAGAUCAUUGAUGGACUCACAUUCUAGCUGAUACUGUCAAGGAUGCGUGGGGGAGGCAGGACUCAGACGCAGACUUCUCGGAAAACAAAAGGCUUUAUUAGUCAAAAGGCAAAAUCAAAAGGCUAAGGGGCAAAACCACACAGGAACCAGGGGAAACCCAGCAGGCAGGAAACUAUGAACAUCCACGACAAUAGACCAGUGACACAAGAGACACACGGCUUAAAUACACAAGGGAGGUGCAGGUGAUUGGACACAGGUGGAAACUAUUAGACGAUCACGGGGAUGACAGGACAAGGCAGGAAGUGAAGUUACCCGGGGACACAAGUGGCAGAAAACUACAACAUGAAGUGAACCACACCGUGACAGAUACAGCAUUUUUAGGGUGAGUCUCAUACCAGCUGUAACAUCUGUGUCUGUGAUUUUUCAAUAUUUUUAAUAUAAUAGAUAAGACAAAUUGUUGGGCACACCUAAAUGAAGGGUUAAGCGCACUAGUGUGGCCAUUGUUAAAUAAAAAUUAGUCUGGGGCUAAAUAAAAGUUAGUCUGGGGCCCUGUUGAGGUGAUCAGUUAGGAGAGAAGGGUUAGGGGACUCAAAAAGGAGGAGGGAUGUGUGGGACAGGUGAACAGGAAGAGAAUGGAUUAGAGUGUUCCUCCAUAGGAUUCCCGUUGAGUCCCUCACCGUGACAUCAGCCUUGUUAAAAGAACCUUUUCUAUUUCUUUACCACGGAGCGGAGUGGGACCUUCGGUCUUCACCACUCCUCUCACUGUUACACACACAGACUCUGUCAUCGACUAAAUCACAUGUGGUUAUGCAUAUCUAAGGCUCCCUUCAUGUAUUCUGUUGUUCUUAGCGCAACAUUGUUUGAAGUAGCUGGAAACCAUUUUAAAUCAUCUCUUGAUAUCAAAGAAUUAAUUUCACCGGGAAAAGCAUGCCCUUAUUAAAGAUGAUUCUCAGACGGCGUUCUCCCUCUACUGCAGUCCAGCAAUCCUCCGCACUGUAAAGAUAUGGGGCUGUUGACAUAUGCGAGGAUAGCUUCAGCGUGCAUUCAAUGACUGUUUUGAAGCACUUAACAGCAAUCAAAUGCACUCACCUGCGUUGAGCGAGUCGUCGUUUUCCAUCAAACUGUAGUCAAUGCUAACCGUCUCGGUGCAUUUCCGGUGCUAUUCAUCAAAAACUCACACUAUUUUUGAACUACUCUGCUUCCGUUCAUAUAUAUGAGAAGCUCCGUGUAUUUAGGGAUGGAUUGGAUGCACAGUCAGCACUUUCAGUUCAGCAGCUAAUGAGGAACAUUUUUCACAAGAUAUGUGGUGAAAGUUUAGUCUAAAACUAAAGAGUAAAAGGUAGGACCGUCAAAAGCCUGUAAAGGUAAGUAGAGAAAAAUAAUGGGAUGGUUCCUAAACGAUAGCGGAAAAUGUCAACGUGAGCUCAAGGAAACUGUGGGGCAUUUUUCACUUGCACACCUAAUCAUUAUUUAUGUGUGUGUGUAUUUUUUUGUUUUGUUUUUCACAUCUGUUGUUGCCGCUCAGCUAUGUGCCCCCUCGGGAGGAUUAUUCUACCACUUCUCUCCUCCUCUGUGCUGCAGGUGAUGGGUUGCAGCAAAACCUCAUACUGCGGUGUGUUCUCAUUUAACGAAGCAUCGAAACAGAAAUACUCAUCUAACACAACGCUGUUGGCGGCAUAUUCCUUGCCUCUUCCAGGCUUGCGUGGGGACAAACUUAACUUUAAAAGGCACAUUUGUUUGGGGUUUAGCGCAGUGUCUAGGUGAUAUGAAGCAAAGUCUAGUCCAAUUUGGGCAAGCUUACUUUGCUUCAGUUAAACAGCAAUGUUUACGGUGUAAAGUAUUCAAAUGAAGGAGUCUUCUAUCUCAGAUAACAUGGAUUCAAGCCAUAUUUUCCACUUUCAAAAAUGAAUUGAGAUUGCAGUUGCAAAGAUGUAAACCUUGCGUUGUAUUGCAAACGUGAGCCCUUCCCUACAGUACGAGUAGAACUUGAGCACACUUAGUUAUUUGCAGAGGUCGUCUGUCUUAGAGAAACAUACUUACAAUUCGAAUUUGUAUCUAUUGACUCUCAGGUCUUAAACAUGUGAUACCAUCGGGCUCAAGGUCUAGAGAUCCUAAAUAAAUAAUAAAUGGGAGCUGAUUUUGAGUCAUGUGGUUUCUCUGCCAUCUGCGACUCCGCCAGUCGUGUGUAGCUGCAUGUGAGGCAACAGGUAACCUAGAUGUGUCGUCUUUAAAGUAUAUUCAUUUUUCUACUUUAUUUGGAAGUGUAAAUCAUAUCCGGGCAGUGUUAAUUUCGUUGACGAAAACUAUGAAAUUUUUUUCGUUAACGACCUUUUUUUCCAUGACUAAGACGAGACGAAAACUAUCUUAAAAAAUAAAAACUAUGACCUAAAUCCAUUCUAACUUGUGAAAUGUUGGUGGUUGACGAAGUCACAAUUGUUUUCCCCCCUAAAUUCGCACGCAGCUGACAGGCAACAGACAGGCAAAGUACGGCGGUUAUUAACGUGUCAUGGUGACGUCAUCCACGAACCCAGAACGCUCGCAUCGGCGCAGCGCUGGUUCUUGUGCACCGACUGCGGACCGCGACGACUAUUUUACGCUUCGGCGAGUUUGAAUGUGCGCUUCAUUAGUUUAGCUCAGCUGUCUCGGUUUAGCUGACUGUUAGCAGGCUGAAGCCGCGCUGCUUCACAGAAACAUGAAGACCCGUUUAACACAGUGGAAACAAUAAAGGACCAUGAAGUUUCAAAAGCAUUGCAAGUAAACGGACAAAGACAACAAAGUGUUGCAUUUAGAUCCCUGGUCCUCAUGAAGUUGUUACACCUUUGCCAAUUUGUUAAAUUGCCUUGCAAAUAAAUGCUUUGCUAUUUGUAAAAAACAAAUCUUUUCAUGUCAUGAUUUUUCACAUGUCAUUUAUAUUCGCUCACACGAACACAUGCAUUUAGAGAUUAUUUAUGGAAUAGUACUAUGUGUUCUGUAUCUGAACACUCCUUCCAGGACUGGUGAGGUUCAGAUGUUUAAAGACAAAGUCAUCCUGCUUUUACAACAGUGUCACUGCAGUAUGCAUUUCAUGAAUCCAGACGUUGCCAUACUAGUCCAUUUGGAUUCACCUUUUUGGUUUUUUUCCAGUGUAAAACCCACAGAAAGCCUUCUUUUAAUGAGUGCUGUGUGUGGUUGACCACAUGCUAUCGAGGAUUAUCCCUGCUCUCUUUUUUAUUACUUCUCUUGUUUUCUUCCCAUUGCUCUUAUGCUUCGGUUUUUGAAGUUACGGCUUUGAAAUGCAGACAAAACUUUUUUCUUCUCACAGUGGCUGAGUGAGUUUUAUUUUAUACAUGCUGGUAUAAAUGAUGGGAUUUUUUGUCGUUUGUUUUUUCUAUUUCUGUCCCUCCCCUCACCUCUUAUCAUGGGGAAGUCUUGCUUGAAAGGAGCUUAUUCAAAUUUGUAUAACAGCAGGGCUCACUGAAUUGUUUUUCUUAUUGAGUUUGCGGUCUGAUUUUCUCGCUCUUUUUCUCGCCCUCACACUCCUUCAUUCAAGCCAAGAGAAUGAUCAGUUAUGUUUAGCUGGUCUUUGCCCAGCAGCUUUAUCGCUAACAUCCAAAUAAUGCAUUAUCAAAUGUAAAAAAUAUCAAAAAAGAAAAAUAUUAAAAUAGUGUAUGAAAUUGAAUGAAACGAAAUGAAAAAAGUAUAUACCCAUGUGUCAACUUCUACAUCACAUCCGACUUCAUGAACGACAAAUAAGACACAUUGCAUGUUUAUGUAUUUUUUUUGGAGACAGUCGUUUUUCAAUUUCACCAUCAGUAUAGACUUCCAUUUUCGGUUCAGCUGUGAUUAAAGGUAUCACGACUAAUCUGAGGAGAGUUAAACAUCACAGCAGUCAGAGGAAUUGCUCCUUUAGCCCCUUUGCAGUCCCUGAAGAGCUCAGAUCAACACCUCUCGUUGGCCUAAUUCGCCUUCUCCUGCAUGCUUCCCCCCCUUUCUCUUUUAUGCAGCUCUGAGGGAGAGAGACUCUGAUGUCUGAGUGAGGAUAAUACUGUCAUUAGAGGGAGAGUACCAAGAAAAAAUGGGAGAGGGGAUGGGGACAGAGAGUGGGAUGGUAGGGAGGGAUAAAGCAUGGAGGGGGAGAGCGGGAUCAAGAGAAGUCAUUCACAAAAGACUAGGUGAUAGAAAAAAGUUUGUUUUUAAUAUUUAAGUUUGAAGCAAAAACACACUAAUGUCUGCAGUGCCUUAAAGUGUUGUCACUAAGCACCUUUGUCCCUCACAAUAAUAUACUAAUAUGUUGAACAAGUGUUCGUUAUGUCUAUGACCACCUUUGUUUUAGCAUGUUGGGAGAGCAAGGACACGGUCAAAGAACUGACGUGUCUUACGUGGAUAAGAUGUUCCCAGUACCCUGGCUGUAGAGACUCAACAAGAUGGUCAAGGUUUCUGUUGUCGCACCGAUAUCUAAACUUAGGUAUAAGAACUGCCUCGAUGUGUUGGGGCAGAAAGGAGGUUCUUGACAGUCUACUGACCACGUAGCUGUUGUGACCCUCUUUCCCUUGCAAGGAAAUAAACGGAGAAAAGACAUACUUGACUCAGAGCCUUUGUUUCUUACUUAACGAUUGUCUGUGCAAAAUCUUCCACCACAAUCACCAGUUUUCAACAGAAGACCAUGACGCCGUCUUUCAGACAGCAGGAAUUCUGUUUCCCAGUUGUGUGAAUGUGGUGAUAUCCACUGCUAUGCUAAGAUCUGCUUUGCUUUCAGUCUUUUCUUUGUUUUAAUAUGUACAAACCAAUACACCCUUUCCUCCACACAUAAUGUAGAUUUUUCUGCAGGCAGACUUUUACUAUGCAAGGUACACAAACACGGCCUGCUAGCAACACCUUCGCCAUUAUGUAGCCACACUUGGCCUUUCGCUAGCUUACAGCUAGCCCCCUUUGUCUCUGAGUUUCCUCUUUUUGGUGCUCCCUAGCUGUAAUCCCCCUGUCAACAGACGCUCCAAUGGUAGAAGCCAUUAGCAGUCUCGCUGUGCGCCGUGUAGGAGUGUUUAUUUUUGUGUGUGCUUUCCAGAGAUUUGAAGGUCGGGGUACUGAGAGGCAAACAUCAUUGGACAUGUCACUCAAGAAAGCGACACAGAGAGAGAGCGGGACGUGGCUGAGCGACAGAGGACGGGAGGCAACGUUAGGAAAACGGUGAUGAGAGACAUGAAACAGUACGGACACUGAAUAAAUGGACCACCAGCGAGUGCAGUGAAGACAGGCUUUAUGAAAAAGGACCCCCCCCCCACAACACAAGGCAAACCCAAAGACUCUUAACCCAGAUUCACACUGUCUGAGUGUGUGUUUGCUUCCUCUUGGAUAACCAAAGGCAGUCAAGGAGCUUUCUAGUGUUAGCAAACACCGACAAACAUGUUUUUUUAAGCAUCAACAUGUCAAAUAAACCCGGGAUCAAUUUGGACAGGGCCGGAGUUGUAAAAUCAUGUUACAACUUCUUAAUAUUUAGAUGACAUCCGUUUUCAUCACCUUUAAAAUGCUUAUUUUUGGUCACAAUGAUUACUCAACUCUUCUUUAGUUGAAACAAAUAGUCAACAGUAUUGAUUUAAAAAUCAAACUUUAUAUCAGAAAUAUUUGCUAUGAGGUCAUCCUUUUUUCCUAUGCGAAUUACGCUUUGUUUAACUCAAUGACAAUGUGCAAAGAUAACAUUCAAAUAGGGAAAAGAUUCUAUCUGACAUCCAUCAGUUGUCAUGAAAGUGAGUGGGACGUCUCGAUGUGCUACUAAAUCUGGCAAAAUUGUACCACUGUCCCGGGAGCAGAUGUCUACUUGCCUUAACAAAGACUCCUUGUGUGUGUGAGACACACAUGCAAAAGAUGUGAUGAAGAUUACGUUGUCACUGUGUCAUCCGUUCACAUAAACACGAGAGCCUGAGAAUAACAAUAAGUCAUGAAAUAGCAGUUAUUUCAUCGCUUACUCAUAGAGGAUUUCAUAAUUAUGCAAAAUGUGAAAGAAUUGUUCCGUUAAACUACAGUGUGAAUAAUAACCAUGACACACAGAAAAGACUGAGGGAAAGAAACAAACUUCCAGUUAUUAUUUACUUGACUUCGCUUGUGUCGGUCAGUAGAGUUGAGGAAAACUAUAACAAUCACAAUAAAGUACAGCAAUAACUCAUGCUCGUAUUUAGGUCUUGAGUAAAGAAAGAUCGAACGAGUAGCCUUUCAACAAUUAAGCUUAAAAUGAGAAUUCUGCUUUAAUGAAAUAUGUCUCUUCUGCUGACUUUUAGCUCCAGGGACAGUGCACACACACACAGACUCACAGUAUACACACACACACACACACACAUCAACAGAGAGUAACUGAGAGUAACCUGAUAGGUAAUGAUGACGCACAAGCGGGUCAAGGUUAGUAUACCAAUCUAGGCAUUUAUUUGAUAAAAUGUGGUUGCCAGGAUGUCAUUAUUCUUUCCAUGCACACAAGACACAAUGACUCGGGCCAAAACAAUGUUCUCUUAUUGUGUCCUGACGUCUGCCAAGUGUUUAUUUGGAGCCAAUCGUAUCGGAGAGAUGGCUGGAAUGCUUGCUGCAGAUAUUUCUGGGCCAAAAAGCAACACUACAAAGACCUGCAGGGCAGAGUCUGGGUAAAGGGUCCAACAAGAAUGAGUCUGCAGUAGCUGUGUACCACGUGGAAGGACGCUGUCAUGACACCCUGCGAUACCCACCUACAGUGCAUCUGGAAAGUAUUCACUGCGCUUUUCCACAUUUUGUUAUGUUACAGCCUUAUUCCAAAAUCGAUCAAAUUCAUUAUUUUCCUCAACAUUCUACACACCCACAACAACAAAGUGAAAACUGUUUUUUCAAACUUGCUCUCUGAAGAACAUGUAAUGGGAAAAUUAUAUGUAACCCUUUUAAAUGCUUCAUUUGUAUAACCAGUUUAUUAGUUGCAAGUGGUUAGAUCACAAAGGCCCUGACAUAAGAACUGAUGUCUCCCACUUGGAUUAGAUGUUUCCAGCGUCAUAGCUGUAGAGAUUGAACAAAGUGUUCGUUAUGUCUAUGACCACCUUUGUUUUAGCAUGUUGGGAGAGCAAGGACACGGUCAAAGAACUGACGUGUCUUACGUGGACAAGAUGUUCCCAGUACCCUGGCUGUAGAGACUCAACAAGAUGGUCAAGGUUUCUGUUGUCGCACCGAUAUCUAUGUCCAGUCAACUGAAUUUAGCACAGGUGGACUCCAAUCAAGUUGUAGAAACAUCUGAAGGAUGAUCAGUGGAAACACACACACAUAUAUAUACAUGUAUAUGUAUGUAUAUAUAUAUAUACAUGUAUAUGUAUGUGUAUGUAUAAUUGUUAAUUAUGUAGCUGAUAUUAAAAACUAUGACCAGAGCAAAAUAUAUAAUUUAACCUCAUUCCUACACCCCCAAAAAGUCUGGAUGUCAACAACCCGAUAAGGAACCUAACAGGUGCAUUGUGGAAAAACAGACUAACACAAAACAGGAGUGUGAGACACUGACGGCAGCAUGGAAAACCUCUGGGGAACCGUGUGUGAUGAAAAGCACAAAGUGAGCGCUGGCAGAGGGAGAAGGAAGUGACAGCAGACAUUGGGAAAAAAAAAAAAAUAUAUAUAUAUAUAUAAGCAGUGGGAGAGAGAAAGACAGAUGAACGGAGAGAAAUUGUCAAAGACCAAGUCAGCCAGUCAGACACUUAUGGCGGGUGGGAAAGGUAAAAAAACAUGUAUGAACAAAGAGUGAGAAAAAGAGAGAAUCAAUUUGUCAUCGCCAGCUGCCACAAACACAGACUGAUUACACCUGCCUACUAAGCCUGUGGUGUGUGUUUGAGCGUGUGUAUUGAUUAGCCUCAACCCUUUGACUGCUACAGCGUGGGGUGUCCGUGACUCACCCAAUCGCUGCUGAGAUGGACCCUGCUCACUUCCUGUUCUUGAGACCAACACGCCGCUAUCAGCAGUGUUCACCCCUGGCUAACUGAAGCAUCACACUAUGUCAGCGUGCAAGUACGCAGAAACACGCAUGCAGACUGGAACAGACAAACGUAACCAUAUCUUUCCACAACAACAAAUGUGGUGAUUGUUUUUUUUUUUUACUCAUCCACAGCGAAACAGUUUUCCACAGGUUGAGGGUCGACUGGAGCGGUUUUAAACAUCUCAUUUGGUUUUGUCUACUUCGUCAAUAGUGAUUUAAGGGCAUCUAAUCGGAAAAUCAGCAACACCAACUGCUCAUUUUAAAAGAACCAAAUCCCAACAUUUGCAUCACACUAGUGGAUGGCUUCCCUUCCCAUAGGCACGAAUACACACGUAUAGCAUUUUACAGAGAGAUCUGUUAUAUAUUUGGACUACUUCGAGUCAUUUAAUACCCCCUUUGGACAAGAGACAUUUUGUCCGAAGAGGGUAUUAUUACAAAAGAAUGUGCUUGACACAGACCAAAACACACAUGCACACAAAUAUUAAAAUCCCUAGUUGUUAUAUUUUGACUGUAUAUAAUGUAUAUGCAUUUGUGCAAUUACUUGUCAAUGUUCAUAGUCAGAAUUGGUUCCUAGUUGCCCAUUUAAGUGUGUGUUUGUCCUGAGAAAAUGGGUUAAAACCGGGAUUCAAUUAAAAGUAAACAAAGAAGAAAAUCCUCUUUUCUACCCUUCGUGCUCUGUUUAGCCUGUUAUAAAUUCACUUUUUAAUCAACUGUGUAUGUGUUAUUAACUUUGGGUCCUGUUUUAUUGUCCAGAGGUUUGUUUGUUUCAUAGUUUUCAUUUUUCUAUGGUUAAAAGCAAGCCUACUGCAGCAGUGUUAAGCUCUGUUUAAAAUCGCAUGAUUGAAAUACAUUCAACAAGUGAUCAUUGAAUCACCACACUAAAAACCAUAGGUGAAACCUACACGUAGAUUCAGUAAGAUUUGUUAACACUUUGACAUGUUAAAUGGAAAAUGCUUUUGGGAUGCACCUGAAUCCUUGGUUGAAGCACUUUAAUAUCUGAGGCUGUAAUUGGAAGCAAUCCUUCUUUGCAGAACCUCUGAGGUUCCAUCAGGUUGGAUGGGGAGUGUAGGUGCACAGGCAUUUUCAUAUCUCUCCAGAAGCAGGUUCAAGUCGGGGCUAUGGGCGGGCUACUCAAGGACAUUCACAGAGUUAUCCCAGAGCAAAGUCAUCGGGUCACUCUGACAGAGCAUCAGCGUUCCCUGACAAAAGCCCUUCUCUCUCAAUCGCUUAGUUUGGCUGGGCGGGUUCUGGUGUUUCCAAACUUCUUCAAUUUUCGGAUGAUGGAGACCACUGUGCUCAUUGGGAACUUCAAUGCUGCAGAAAUUCCUCUUUACCCAUCGGCAGAUCUGUGCUUCUAUACAAGUAUGUCUCAGGCCUACAGACAAUUCCCUGGACUUCAUGGCUUGGUUUGUGCUCUGACAUGCACGGUCAACUGUGGAACCUGCUACAGACAGGUGCUUUUCUAAUUCAUGUCCAAUCAGCUGAACAAAGAUGAUCAGUGGAAGCAGGAUGGGAAGGAAGAAAUUUUCAAAAAUAUUUCACUUUGUUCUUAUGGUGUGUUGUGUGUGGAGUUUUGAGGGAUAAAAUGAAUUUAAUCCAUUAUGGAAUAAGGCUGUAACUUAACAAAAUGUGGAAAAAGUGAAGCGCUGUGAAUGGAACUGCCAGCUUUCACAUAUCCCCAUAUAGGAUUACAAUUUUCUGGCUAAAAUGAGAACGUUUUUUCUCUUUGGGGGGUUUAGUGAAACACCUUGUAGUGUACCUCUUCUGUUGAACACCUGGAACAGAUUGAGCUCCCUCUCUAUUGUGAUAGCCUGCUGGCCUGAGGUCAGUCUGGUUUGACACCACAGAAAAGAGGCAACACUGAGCCUACAGCUGGAUAUUGCAAAUAACCAGCUGCUUUGAGAUGCUGUGUUCCGAGUGAGAUUUUCUUUAAGAACUGGCUUCCUCUAGGCACCUUAAAUGAGAUUCGCAGUAUGUUGCUUAUUUUUGUCACUGUCAUAUGGAAAUAAUGGCAGGCCAAGAGGGUAGACCCUUAAAUACGACAAUACCACAAUAAAUACAUUGGCCAUCUGUUCAUAAUAGCAGGAUUUCGCUGCAUGCUAACAAUAACCAUUCUAACAUGUUGAUGUUUAGCUGAUAAAUAGUUUAUGACGUUGGGCAGUUUGUUUGAAUGCUAACAUUCUUAACAUCCAAACUUUUGAGAUCUCAGAGAGCAGGAGGGUCAGCAGCUAUACCUCAGGAGGUGGCUGGCGUUACCAAAGAGCUUGAGCAGCACUGAAAUUAAUUAUCCUUGGAGGAGAGUUGAAGGUAACAAGAGGUAGAUGAGUAUUACCGUAUAGGUACUAUUUAUGGGAAGGUGGCAAAAAAGGAUCCAAGUGAAGAUUGGUAGGAGGUGCAACCCACGAGGCAGUCAUUGCAAGUUCGAGUGUUGGAGGUAAGUUAAAUGAGUUGAAAAAGUCUAAUCUGAAACAUUAGAAAAGAGACUACGAUCACAUAUUUUAGGUGCUUUUCUAAGUAUCCAAUAUUCCCACAAUCUCUCCUAGAAUAAUGUUCAACAAAAAAACAAUGAGGCCAAGGAGGUCCCAAAACCAUCUCAACCAGUUCCAGUUAUGCAGUGCAGUGGUUAACAUCAGGGUCAGUGUUUGUUCGUUGCUUGUCCGUUUGAAAUGUCUGAUGCUCGACAAGAGCAAAAGAAGAUAUUAAAUAUCCUUUAAUUUAUAUACAUCAUGAAGAGCGGCCACACCAUUUCCAUCCUAUGUUGUCCUUAAACAGAUAAUCUAGUGCCUGUAGAUCUUUUUUGUGCUCUUGAGCAAAGCCCUUAACUCCUUAUAUUUCUUGUCAAAGGACAUUAAACAAACAAACUGAGGUGCAACCCGUAUUCUUAUUAUCCAUUCACUAUGUUUCCAAGAUAAGGUGUUAAAUUAGUUUGCACAUUGGGUUUUACCUUGAGGCUA